UUGUUACAAUGUAUUGUUGGCUUUUUCUAUUGUGCAUGGCCAUUGUUAAGUUUAAUUUUUUUCGUAAGUUCCGCGUUUUGUUCUUUUCUUUCAGAUUUCCUGGAAAAAUUGUAAUCAAAUAAGCCAGUAAUGUACGGAGGUAUAAAAAGAGAUAUAACCUCAGGAUAAGACAAUGUUCAAGUAAUAGUAUAAGAACGACGAUGAUCUGGACUUCCCACAACAGCACAUUCUUUUACAGCAGGAUGUUCUUGAAGAGCACUUUCUACUUCGAAAGCUAAAUAGUAACAGUACGUACCCGGAAGAACUAAUUAUAUCAUCAUUACGGCCGAUGAACCAAAGAUAACCGUCGUUAUCUUUAUAUCCCCGAUCGCCGUAGGCCUAUAUUGGUCACGGAAUUCUUAGUGUCAAUUUCUUUUGGUAACUAUCAAGGGCGACAAGAGAGAAGAGAAACUGGAACUGGAGUUCCAGGACCUUGAUCUGUAGAUAGUGAAAGAGAAAGAAGACAAAUUGAAGGCAUCAUGUCAGAAAAGGAGGAAGAGUCCAGGAGACCCUCUCUUCGGAGUCCAUGAUCGCUCUCCGUGGUUCUGGUUAUUAAAUAUUCUGUGGAAAACUUUCUGUUUUAAGCCGAAAAAAAUUAUUUUUAUAAUAUACAGUGGAGCGAAGAUUAUCCGAAAAUCAAUUAUUUGAAAAAUCGACUUCAGAGUACACUGAUUAGACUACAGAAAUUACGAAGUUGACAAUCUAUAGGUUUAAUAUUGAGUUGUCAUCUGUUAUAUGAAAUUGUCCCGCCCAAUUAUUUCGGAUAAUCGACACUCGAUUGCAUUAACUAUUAAAAUUCCGAUAUUUAUUUGAAAAUUGAUUUUCCUUUCACUAAUUUUAUAAAACAUUCGCAAAUCUACAAAUUCUGAAACACCGCAACUCCAAUCAUUUUAAAUUAAUUACUACGUAGAUAUAAUUUUAACAAUAAAAUUUAAUGUUACCUGAAAAAUAUGUAUAGUCCAUAAUG